rnacentral:rRNA from 1 species
GAUGAACGCUGGCGGCGUGCCUAAUACAUGCAAGUCGAGCGGACAGAUGAUGAGCUUGCUCCUCUGACGUUAGCGGCGGACGGGUGAGUAACACGUGGAUAACCUACCUAUAAGACUGGGAUAACUUCGGGAAACCGGAGCUAAUACCGGAUAAUAUAUUGAACCGCAGGGUUCGAUAGUGAAAGACGGUUUUGCGGGCACUUCUAGAUGGAUUCGAGCCGUAUUGGCUAGUUGGUGAGGUAACGGCUUACCAAGGGAACGAUGCGUAGCCGACCGGACGGCGUGUUGCGCCCCUCGGGGGGUGACCGGCGACCCAGGCUCUGAGGGGCGGCACCGGCAGGGACGCUGCCGAGCUGGGCGAAAUCCUGCCGGAGGAACGCAGCGCGGGUGAUGAAGGGCUGCGGGUCGUAAAACGCUGUUAUGGGUGAAGAACAAAUGUGCAAGUAACGAUGCGCGUCUGGCCGGAACCUAAUCAGAAGGCCCCGGCUACCUCCGG